ACUAUGAUAAUACAUCAAAACAUUUAGGGGGCUGUGUAUAAUUAGGCCAUUAAAUUCAGAUAGCUAACAUUUUUUGGAGGUUCAUUUCAAAACGUAUUAUUAAAUGCCAAUCUAAUUGGUAUACACCCAAAUGUCUGCAAACCAUAUAAAGUGGCCCUUUCUUUGCACUCGGGCUGGCAACUAUGUUUAUUAGUAAAUAUUAUGGUGGUGUUGGAAAUCCUCUGAUUUGUGCUACUGGUUCAGAGCAAGAUUGUUUUGGG
rnacentral:lncRNA from 1 species